rnacentral:tRNA from 2 species
CGCGGGGUGGAGCAGUCUGGUAGCUCGUCGGGCUCAUAACCCGAAGGUCGUAGGUUCAAAUCCUGCCUCCGCAA